ensembl:rRNA 5S_rRNA 5S ribosomal RNA
UCUACGGCCAUACCACCCUGAACGCGCCCGAUCUCGUCUGAUCUCGGAAGCUAAGCAGGGUCGGGCCUGGUUAGUACUUGGAUGGGAGAGUGACUUUGGACCGUCAGAA